CUGUUAGUAUGCGUACUUGCAACAUGCCUAUGAAAUACAUACAACAUGGUCUCACAACAGUGAAAAUGGUUCUUCAUCUGGGUUCUUAAACUGGAUGCUUUUGUUUUGUUUCGUUUGUUUUGACUGUUUCUUUUUUUUUUUUUUUUU
rnacentral:ribozyme from 16 species